rnacentral:rRNA from 1 species
UCGAACGAGAAGUUACCUUCGGGUAACGAGUACAGUGGCGCACGGGUGAGUAACGCGUGGACAAUCUGCCCUUUGGUUUGGGAUAACCCCGGGAAACUGGAGCUAAUACCGAAUAAGCCCACGACGUCCUCGGACGAUGUGGGAAAAGGUGGCCUCUCCUUGGAAGCUGUCGCCAAUUGAUGAGUCCGCGUACCAUUAGCUUGUUGGUGAGGUAACGGCUCACCAAGGCUGUGAUGGUUAGCUGAUCUGAGAGGAUGAUCAGCCACACUGGAACUGAGACACGGUCCAGACUCCUACGGGAGGCAGCAGUCGGGAAUCUUGGGCAAUGGGGGAAACCCUGACCCAGCAACUCCGCGUGAGGGAUGAAGGCCUUCGGGUCGUAAACCUCUGUCGGGAGGGAAGAAAGCCGUAUUGUGAAUAUCUAUACGGUCUGACGGUACCUCCAAAGGAAGCACCGGCUAACUCCGUGCCAGCAGCCGCGGUAAUACGGAGGGUGCAAGCGUUGUUCGGAAUUAUUGGGCGUAAAGCGGAUGUAGGCGGUCAAGUAAGUCGGAUGUGAAAUCCCUGGGCCCAACCCAGGAACUGCAUCCGAAACUGCUUGACUAGAGUCUCGGAGGGGGUGGCGGAAUUCCCGGUGUAGAGGUGAAAUUCGUAGAUAUCGGGAGGAACACCAGUGGCGAAGGCGGCCACCUGGACGAUGACUGACGCUCA